AAAAUAAAUAAAUAUAAUAAUAACAGUCCUCGCUGUCUUUGUCGUAGGUGAAAACUUUAACAUACAUAUUCUGAUAGACUUAUGUUUAUUAUUGGGCUCAUCACUGACUUGGACAUUAGAGAAUUAAGGAUAACAAGCGAAUUAGUAAUUUAACGACUGGUAAAUGUCAUCUAUACAAACAUUUUCUCUUUUUAAUAAUUAAUAAAAGUAAUGCAAAGUUAUUUCCAAGAUUAAAUCAGAUUGUUUGUUAAAAUGUUCCCUAUUCAUAUGCUAAAGUCACAGAAUAGUGACUGGAGAGUCUGCACUGUGAACUUGCAAGGUUGACAGCAACCUCGCCUAAAACAUGUAAAGCAUUUCCUGUAGCGAAAGAAAAACUCCCUGAUAAGAGAGCAACAGUAGUUCUUUAUCAUUUUGAGCCUAUCUCUCUACUCUGUUACAUAUUGCACAUGUACCUACGUGUGGUACUGUGUGAGAGUGUGUGUGUGGCAAUUGUGAUCGCAUGUGGGAGCCUGUCUUGGCAGCCUCCCUAGAUGCUGCCUAGCCCCUAACUACAAAAAAAAGAAAAAAAGAAAAUCUCAGCUGCUGUGGCUCUAGCUGCUGGCGCUGCACACCCAGAGCUCGGCCAGGGGGCCCUCGCUGCAGCGCUCCACCAGGCGAGUGAGUUCCUCCGGACAUCGUGGGCCUCUGGCUGUUCCCGCUAACGCCAACCGUUGUCUGGCAGAGGGUCGUCUGUGUCAUGUAUGUCUAUGUGUCAGGUCAAGUCUUAGACUCCCCUUAGAACAUUUCAGGAUCCUCCAGGUGUUGGGCCGCACUCCCUGCCAGUGCCUCAAGCCCCCACCCACUGGUGCAUUGGUGGUUCCCCAGUGUCCUGUGCUGGAUGCUCAGGUGUGUUUGGUAUGGAUACCAAAAUUUGUAGUAUCGCACAGCACUACAUCAACACUCAGUAACUCUGUAAGUCUACAUGGCCUCCCAUUCAUAGUUGCUUCCACUUUGCAAUAAUACCACUUUUUGUUGGAAUUUUCGUAGAACAUCAAGGAGGAAAGAAAGAAAUUCCCAAACUGUUACAAUACCAUGGUCAAAUUCAACAAGCUCUUUCUAAACUUCUUAGGGUUCAUGAAUUUAUUGUCAAAGAAUUGUGGUUUCAUUAAUAUUUAAUAUCCCUUCUAGUUAAAUCCAAA
ensembl:lncRNA